rnacentral:rRNA from 1 species
GAUGAACGCUGGCGGCGUGCCUAAUACAUGCAAGUCGAGCGAACGGACGAGAAGCUUGCUUCUCUGAUGUUAGCGGCGGACGGGUGAGUAACACGUGGAUACCCUACCUAUAAGACUGGGAUAACUUCGGGAAACCGUAGCUAAUACCGGAUAAUAUUUUGAACCGCAUGGUUCAAAAGUGAAAGACGGUCUUGCUGUCACUUAUAGAUGGAUCCGCGCUGCAUUAGCUAGUUGGUAAGGUAACGGCUUACCAAGGCAACGAUGCAUAGCCGACCUGAGAGGGGGAUCGGCCACACGGGAACUGAGACACGGUCCAGACUCCUACGGGAGGCAGCAGUAGGGAAUGUUCCGCAAUGGGCGAAAGCCUGACGGAGCAACGCCGCGUGAGUGAUGAAGGUCUUCGGAGCGUAAAACUCUGUUAUUAGGGAAAAACAUAUGUGUAAGGAACUGUGCAGAUCGUGACGGUACCUAAUCAGAAAGCCACGGCUAACUACGUG